rnacentral:rRNA from 1 species
CCUACGGGAGGCUGCAGUGGGGAAUAUUGCACAAUGGGCGCAAGCCUGAUGCAGCCACGCCGCGUGUGUGAAGAAGGCCUUCGGGUUGUAAAGCACUUUCAGCGGGGAGGAAGGCGGUGAGGUUAAUAACCUCAUCGAUUGACGUUACCCGCAGAAGAAGCACCGGCUAACUCCGUGCCAGCAGCCGCGGUAAUACGGAGGGUGCAAGCGUUAAUCGGAAUUACUGGGCGUAAAGCGCACGCAGGCGGUCUGUCAAGUCGGAUGUGAAAUCCCCGGGCUCAACCUGGGAACGGCAUUCGAAACUGGCAGGCUAGAGUCUUGUAGAGGGGGGUAGAAUUCCAGGUGUAGCGGUGAAAUGCGUAGAGAUCUGGAGGAAUACCGGUGGCGAAGGCGGCCCCCUGGACAAAGACUGACGCUCAGGUGCGAAAGCGUGGGGAGCAAACAGGAUUAGAUACCCGUGUAGUC